ACGGGGUGCAGCAGGCGCGAAAACUCUACAAUGCUGGAACAGCGAUAGGGGACCUCGAGCGCCAGGUUACAAAUCUGGCUGUCGUGAUGCCUAAAAAGCAUCGCAUAGCAAGGGCCGGGCAAGACCGGUGCCAGCCGCCGCGGUAACACCGGCGGCUCGAGUGGUAACCGUUAUUAUUGGGUCCAAAGGGUCUGUAGCCGGCCGGGUAAGUCUCUUGGGAAAUCUGGCAGCUUAACUGUCAGGCUUUCAGGAGAUACUGUCUGGCUCGAGGCCGGGAGAGGUGAGAGGUACUUCAGGGGUAGGGGUGAAAUCUUGUAAUCCUUGAAGGACCACCAGUGGCGAAGGCGUCUCACCAGAACGGACCUGACGGCAAGGGACGAAAGCUAGGGGCACGAACCGGAUUAGAUAUCCGGGUAGUCCUAGCCGUAAACGAUACUCGCUAGGUGUCGGCAACGGUGCGACCGUUGUCGGUGCCGUAGGGAAGCCGUGAAGCGAGCCACCUGGGAAGUACGGCCGC
rnacentral:rRNA from 1 species